rnacentral:rRNA from 1 species
AGAGUUUGAUCCUGGCUCAGGACGAACGCUGGCGGCGUGCCUAAUGCAUGCAAGUCGAGCGGGCUACGAUCUUCGGAUUGUAGCUUAGCGGCGAACGGGUGAGUAACACGUAGGCAAUCUACCCUUCAGAGGAGGACAACCUCAGGAAACUGAGGCUAAACCUUCAUACGUUCACUGGUAGGGAUACUGGUGAAGAAAGAGUUACCUUAGUGGUAGCUGCUGAAGGAUGAGCCUGCGGCCCAUCAGGUAGUUGGUGAGGUAACGGCUCACCAAGCCGAAGACGGGUAACCGGUCUGAGAGGAUGUCCGGUCACACUGGGACUGAGACACGGCCCAGACUCCUACGGGAGGCAGCAGCAGGGAAUCUUGGGCAAUGGGCGAAAGCCUGACCCAGCGACGCCGCGUGGAGGAAGAAGUCCUUCGGGGCGUAAACUCCUGGACUGGGGGACGAGGAAGGACGGUACCCCAGUAGAAAGGGACGGCUAACUACGUGCCAGCAGCCGCGGUAAAACGUAGGUCCCGAGCGUUGUUCGGAUUCACUGGGUGUAAAGGGCGCGUAGGUGGUUGUCUGUGUCUCAUGUGAAAACUCAGGGCUCAACUCUGAGAUUGCGUGGGAAACUAGGCAGCUAGAGGACGGUAGAGGGGAGUGGAAUUCCCGGUGUAGCGGUAAAAUGCGUAGAUAUCGGGAGGAACACCGGUGGCGAAGGCGGCUCUCUGGGCCGAUCCUGACGCUGAGGCGCGAAAGCUAGGGGAGCGAACCGGAUUAGAUACCCGGGUAGUCCUAGCCGUAAACGAUGGGUGCUAGGUGUUGGGGGGUAAAGACCCUUCAGUGCCGAAGCCAACGCGAUAAGCAUCCCACCUGGGGGAGUACGGCCGCAAGGUUGAAACUCAAAUGAAUUGACGG